GACGAACGCUGGCGGCGUGCUUAACACAUGCAAGUCGAACGAUGAAGCCGGAGCUUGCUCUGGUGAAUUAGUGGCGAACGGGUGAGUAACACGUGAGUAACCUGCCCUUGACUCUGGGAUAACUGCGGGAAACUGUAGCUAAUACCGGAUACGACCCUCGGAGGCAUCUCCUGGGGGUGGAAAGAAUUUCGGUCAAGGAUGGACUCGCGGCCUAUCAGCUAGUUGGUGAGGUAAAGGCUCACCGAGGCGACGACGGGUAGCCGGCCUGAGAGGGUGACCGGCCACACUGGGACUGAGACACGGCCCAGACUCCUACGGGAGGCAGCAGUGGGGAAUAUUGCACAAUGGGCGCAAGCCUGAUGCAGCAACGCCGCGUGAGGGAUGACGGCCUUCGGGUUGUAAACCUCUUUUAGCAGGGAAGAAGCGAAAGUGAUGGUACCUGCAGAAAAAGCACCGGCUAACUACGUGCCAGCCGCCGCGGUAA
rnacentral:rRNA from 1 species